rnacentral:rRNA from 1 species
CCUACGGGAGGCUGCAGUGAGGAAUAUUGGUCAAUGGACGCAAGUCUGAACCAGCCAUGCCGCGUGCAGGAAGACGGCUCUAUGAGUUGUAAACUGCUGUUGUACGAGGGUAAACGCAGAUACGCGUAUCUGUAUGAAAGUAUCGUACGAAUAAGGAUCGGCUAACUCCGUGCCAGCAGCCGCGGUAAUACGGAGGAUUCAAGCGUUAUCCGGAUUUAUUGGGUUUAAAGGGUUCGUAGGCGGUCGGAUAAGUUAGAGGUGAAAUCCCGAGGCUCAACUUCGGAAUUGCCUCUGAUACUUUUCGGCUAGAGCGUAGUUGCGGUAUGCGGAAUGUAUGGUGUAGCCGU